UACAUAUUUCUUGCUCAAUGAAUAUGUAUUGCUUGCAAAAUUAGAAAGAAAACAAUAAAUGUCAUUAAAAAUGAAAAAAAAAG